UCUCCCACUCCCAUCCCCUCACAAACCACGGUGCAUGUCCACAUCCUCACUCAGUACUGUCAUAAUGGAUCUGAUCCUGGGCGUAACUUCCUGCUCAUCCCCACAGCAACAGACUGUGACAGAAAAUAAUGGAUUUUAAGAACAGGCCAGUGAGACAGAAAAUGGGCAGUGAGAAAGAAAGUGCAAAGCUGGGUAAGAGGAAAAGAAAGAAGCUGGAGGAUGUUUGUUCUGAGAAAACUGAAAAUACUUUGUUUAAAUUGGAUCCCAUUAUACCACUUAAGGAAAACUUACCAGGUAAGUCUCCUGGUUUGAAUGUUAACUCUUUCUGUUUGGGUUUGUUUGGUUUGAUUUGUUUUUUUUGUUGUUGUUGUUGUUGUUUUUUUUCUUGAUUUACAGCUCCAUGCAAAUAGUCUAUCUUUUCAAAAAGUAUGUUCUAUCAAUACUCUCCAAUGGUGACUUCAUAAGACAUUCAGAGUCCACCAGAGCCAUCCUCUGAGCUCCACAGUACCCAUUUCCCAAGACGCUUUAUAUCUUAUUAUUUCCAUUAGAUGCAUUCUAUGAUGGCAAACUGAACUAUUAGAAAGAAGUUACCGAGAACACAUGAGGAGAGGAACACCCACAGGUAGCAAUAUUAAAACACUUUUUACUCUCAAACAGACAAUGAAUGAAUUCUCCAGUUCUAG
rnacentral:lncRNA from 1 species